ACGAACGCUGGCGGCGUGCCUAAUACAUGCAAGUCGAACGGUCUUUCUAUGGAAGCUUGCUUCCACUGAGAAGAUAGUGGCGGACGGGUGAGCAACACGUGGGUAACCUGCCCAUAAGAGGGGGAUAACAUCCGGAAACAGGUGCUAAUACCGCAUAGUUUUCUUGAUCGCAUGAUCGGGAAAGGAAAGACGGCCUUUGUGCUGUCGCUUAUGGAUGGACCCGCGGCGUAUUAGUUAGUUGGUGAGGUAACGGCUCACCAAGACGAUGAUACGUAGCCGACCUGAGAGGGUGAUCGGCCACAUUGGGACUGAGACACGGCCCAAACUCCUACGGGAGGCAGCAGUAGGGAAUCUUCCGCAAUGGACGAAAGUCUGACGGAGCAACGCCGCGUGAGUGAAGAAAGGUUUUCGGAUCGUAAAACUCUGUUGUCAGAGAAGAACAAGUCGGAGAGUAACUGCUCCGGCCUUGACGGUAUCUGACCAGAAAGCCACGGCUAACUACGUGCCAGCAGCCGC
rnacentral:rRNA from 1 species